GUCCACGCCGUAAACUAUGGGUGCUAGCCGUUGGGAAGCUUGCUUUUCAGUGGCGCAGCUAACGCAUUAAGCACCCCGCCUGGGAGUACGUCGCAAGAUUAAAACUCAAAGGAAUUGACGGGGGCCCGGCACAAGCGGUGGAGCAUGUGGUUUAAUUCGAAGCAACGCGCAGAACCUUACCUACCCUUGACAUGUCUAGUAUGGGCACCGGAGACGGAGUCCUUCAGUUCGGCUGGCUAGAACACAGGUGCUGCAUGGCUGUCGU
rnacentral:rRNA from 1 species